GUCAUUUUCCGAAGCUGCAUGGAUAACGGAGAGACCAAUUAUUGAAGAUAGUUGUGCCACAAUAUGGAUGAAUCCUGGAUACAUGAAUGCCUGUGUGGAACAGAGCCCGCUGUCUACUGUAUUGGAUUCUGAGGAAGAGGACAAGAGACCUGGGCUCCCUCUCUUUCCACCGUAUCGAGGACACAGCAAGAAGGCAACCAUCUGUAAGCCAGGAAGUGGACCCUCACCAGGAACCAAAGCUGCCUAUACCUUGAUCUUGAACUUUGAAGACUCCAACACUGUGAGAAAUAAGUAUCUGCUGUUUAAGGCUCCCAGUCUUUGAUAUUUUUUUAUGGCAGCCUGAGGUGACUACGAUAGCAGGACUUGAAUCUAGUCCAGGAAAGCCACAGGGCUCUGUUUCCUCUCUCAUGCUGCAUUCUUCCUGCAAUGAAAGUAAGUUAUUAGCAAUGCAGUUUUCCACAGUUACUCCGAUGUUUUGCCUGGGCCUGUUCAGACCUUUCAGGACUCAGUUAAGAACAAAUCCAGGGAUCGUUAUUUGCUUUCGCUGGAGAGCAAGCAAUAGACAUGUAGCCAUUAACUGAAAUGGUUUUGGACAUUAGGUCAAUUUCUGGGGGAAAUGGAAUCGGGAUGAACUGGCACCUUUGAGUGUAUGUGAUGUUCACUUCUUUUUCACGGUUCUCGAUACAAUUUCACCAGUAAAAAUUGUUCCUCAGUGUGGAACCUGCUAUUGCCAGAUAAAUGAAACCCCUUUGGCCUUGGGAUGUUAGGAGAGAGAGACAGAGAGAGAGAGAGGCAUGAAGACACUUUUCUAGUGUGAAUGGUGUUUUAUAGGCUCAAAGCAUGUGAGAGCUGGAAAGGACUUCAGAUUCAGCUAAGUCCACCCCCUCAUCUAAUAUGUGAGGAAACUGAGGCCCAGAGGGAGGAAAUGCCCAGCUCCAGGGCAGAGCUAGGAACACAGAAAGCAAGGGUCAUGGACCGAAUGUUUGUGUCAUCUCUCAAAUUCAUAUGUUGAAGCCCUGAUCCCCAUUGCAGUGGUAAGUCUGGUGAUAAACCUGGGAAGAUAACACUGAUCCAUCCUUCAUGAAAACAGAGAUGUCUCCAGGUAUUUCACAUGUAAAGUAGCUUAAAACAGAGAAUUAG
rnacentral:lncRNA from 10 species